rnacentral:tmRNA from 1 species
GGGGCUGAUUUUUUGGAUUUGACGAGGUUUAUGAAAUUCAAAGCGCAUGUCGAGGUGAGGUAAUCCUCGUAAAAAACCUCAAAAAAAAUAGUUGCAAAUAACUCUCGACUUGAACCUGCUGCGUUAGCAGCUUAAUUAGUCCAAUAAACUAAAGGUUCCCUCUUUCUCUAUAUCUUUUCUCUUUGAGAAAGAGAAAAGAGGUCUUUUUAAUUAAAGAGAUCGCGUAAAAGUUCCUCCUGAGAACAAAACGUUAAAAAAUUAAUCAGGAUAACUUGAUAGUAGCAUGUCUAUCUGAGACUAACGAGUGAAUAAAUUUUAAAGAUAUGACUAAGCAUGUAGUGCAGAGAACGUAGAGAUUUCGGACGCGGGUUCAAAUCCCGCCAGCUCCACUA